rnacentral:rRNA from 1 species
AUUGAACGCUGGCGGCAGGCUUAACACAUGCAAGUCGAGCGGGGUGAUGGUGCUUGCACUAUCACUUAGCGGCGGACGGGUGAGUAAUGCUUAGGAAUCUGCCUAUUAGUGGGGGACAACAUCUCGAAAGGGAUGCUAAUACCGCAUACGUCCUACGGGAGAAGGCAGGGGAUCACUUGUGACCUUGCGCUAAUAGAUGAGCCUAAGUCGGAUUAGCUAGUUGGUGGGGUAAAGGCCUACCAAGGCGACGAUCUGUAGCGGGUCUGAGAGGAUGAUCCGCCGCACUGGGACUGAGACACGGCCCAGACUCCUACGGGAGGCAGCAGUGGGGAAUAUUGGACAAUGGGGGGAACCCUGAUCCAGCCAUGCCGCGUGUGUGAAGAAGGCCUUAUGGUUGUAAAGCACUUUAAGCGAGGAGGAGGCUCUUUUGGUUAAUACCCAGAAUGAGUGGACGUUACUCGCGGAAUAAGCACCGGCUAACUCUGUGCCAGCCGCCGCGGUAAGAC